GACGAACGCUGGCGGCGUGCUUAACACAUGCAAGUCGAACGGUGACGCUGGAGCUUGCUCCAGCUGAUCAGUGGCGAACGGGUGAGUAACACGUGAGCAACCUGCCCUUGACUCUGGGAUAACCCCGGGAAACCGGAGCUAAUACCGGAUACGAACCGCACAGGCAUCUGCGUGGUUGGAAAGUUUUUCGGUCAAGGAUGGGCUCGCGGCCUAUCAGCUUGUUGGUGGGGUAACGGCCCACCAAGGCGACGACGGGUAGCCGGCCUGAGAGGGCGACCGGCCACACUGGGACUGAGACACGGCCCAGACUCCUACGGGAGGCAGCAGUGGGGAAUAUUGCACAAUGGGCGAAAGCCUGAUGCAGCGACGCCGCGUGAGGGAUGAAAGCCUUCGGGUUGUAAACCUCUUUCAGCAGGGAAGAAGCGAAAGUGACGGUACCUGCAGAAGAAGCACCGGCUAACUACGUGCCAGCCGCCGCCGUAAAAC
rnacentral:rRNA from 1 species